rnacentral:rRNA from 1 species
UACGUAGGGUGCAAGCGUUGUCCGGAAUUAUUGGGCGUAAAGAGCUUGUAGGCGGUUUGUCGCGUCUGCUGUGAAAUUUCGGGGCUCAACCCCGGACUUGCAGUGGGUACGGGCAGACUAGAGUGUGGUAGGGGAGACUGGAAUUCCUGGUGUAGCGGUGAAAUGCGCAGAUAUCAGGAGGAACACCGAUGGCGAAGGCAGGUCUCUGGGCCGUAACUGACGCUGAGACGCGAAAGCGUGGGGAGCAAACAGG